UUUCUCACUCUUGGAACACGCCCCUUCCAUCCCCGCCCCGGGGACUCUGUGGUCGCAGCUGCUGGAAGUUCUCAGUUCCAAGCCCUUGGGCCUAGAACCUAUGCCACCUGCCUUAAAAUUCCUGAUAGUAAUUAAGCACAGAAUUCUAAGACAUUGGUUGAGUCAUAGUGAGUGAGGCAAUAACCUCGCCUGUGUAGGAUAUAUUGGAGGCUGACUGCCUCUGUGCCUUGAUAAAACGUGUAAAUUUGAAAUGGCUGGUACUUAGAAAAUCCUAAGACUGUAACAGGUAUUUUCUUCAUCCCAUUUUUGCAAAUUUAAUUUUACCUACCCCUCAAGAAUAUGCACACUACUUAAUGCUCAAGUCAGAGCACUUCCAUAAAGCUGGACUGAGAUCUCUACCAUGUGAAUUUCCUGAAACCAACUUGGCAGCAACAAAAUUAAUGACUUAUUAUCAAACCUUAAUUGUAUUUAUUUUCCUUUCCCCCCCAAAUUUUCCUGCCAAAUAAAGGGACAACCAUCAUCACCCAAUUUAUAACAAAUCCCAUGCAAAGAACAAUUCUCCAUUUUGAAGCUCUCAACUCCUAAUCUGCCUGAAACAUCUUUAAAAGCCAAAAGUUAAAUAAUUUAGAGAGGGGAAUGUUAAAUCUCCCACUGUUAAGAUUUAUUUAUUUAACAGGUAGGAGGGACAGAACAAAUGGCCAGAACAGCAAAGGAUGGGCAAGGCUGAAGCCAGGAGCCAGGAAUUUCAACUGGGUCUCCCACCUGGAUAACAAGAACUCAAGUACUCAAGCCAUCAUCCACUGCUUCCUAGUUGCAUAAAUGGGUAUUGGGAUGGAAGCUGAGUAGCUGGGACCCCAGUUGGCACUCUAGGGAGGGAUGUGGGCAUCCCAGGUAGCAGCUUAACCUGCUGUGCCACAAUGCCCACCCCUCAGCAUGCAUUUUAUCCUAACAAAAGCAUGGCACUACCCAAUGCCUGUUCAUGAUUGUUCCUUUACAGAUGCUAUUAAAUGUAAUGUUGGUCACAGUUGUGCUGAGAGAUCACUUUGAUGUUACAACAGUCAUGCAGAGACAGCUUGGAGUGGGUAACUAUAUGCCCUGCUCUGAACAGGACCAAGAGAGAACGACACCAGGCUUUAUCGCAUUCCUAAUUCUGCCUGUGAUUCACUGUGUAAACUGACAGUGCUGCUUCCUCAGGGUGGUUGUCAAAGUCACAGCACGAUCACAGGAGGUGUUCAUAAGACGUUGGCACAAGUCACUGACAGAUUAGCUGGAAGCUUGUUGUGAUUCUCCUCAGGGAUUUCAGGAAUAGCUAACUCUUCAAGCUAAUUAGUCCUGCGUGGUUGAGAUGGAUGAUCUGGAAAAAAAAAAGGCAAUUGAAAAUGAUACAGUUAUUUAGCAAUACAAAAGUGUAAAUAAUAGAAAAAUCAAGAAAUGAAGCAAACACAUUUAGAAACAUUUGGAUCAACUAGAUGAAUAGGUCAGCAGAUGGAAAAUUCAAUUUCAAAGUAGACAAAGAAAAGUAUAAUGUGUUUGGGAGCAGAAAUCCAAGUUAGUUAAUGUUAAACAAUGCAAUUGUCAAU